ensembl:lncRNA
AUUCUGUUUGCAACAAUACAAUUCUGCUUUAAGAAAUGAGUACAAUUUCACUUGAAAUGUCCAUCUGUUGAGUAACACCAAAACUGUCCGGUUUGAUGAUUCAGAUGCUAAGGAGAAAUGAAAGAGAGCACAUUGAAAAUAGGGGCAUACUGACUUCCUUGGGUAUAGCAGGCUGCUGUAUAAUAUUUAACCACUGUAUACAGAAUUUGGUUCCUUUUUUUUAGUCAGUCUGACUUUUUCAUCCACAGUUUUUUACUGAUCUGAUUGUUACAUGAAACCUGACUACCCAAUACUUGUGGCCAUUUUCAAACUUUUAAAUAGCCCCUUCCUGUUUCGUGAAUGGAAGAUCACUUACAUAAAUUUCUAAAAUAAAUUUCAGUCACAUCUUCAUUUUCACGGAGGGAAAAGUCAUCAGACAAAGACCUGUUUCAUCACUUUCCAUGUGCCAUUUCCUAACAUGGUACCUACUAAGUGUCCAGUAUGCCGGUUCUGGUGUUUUGUUGAGCAUUCCUAUAGUGUGCUAAAGAAAAAACAGUUCUUAUAACUAUUAGAAAUAGAGAAACAGAGUUGGAACAUUUCUACAGUUCUUUUCUGUAAUGACAGCAGAACUGAAAGAUCAAAGGAAGAAAGAGAGGAGAUGAUGCUUUUUAUGCAUUCCGGAAGUAAAGCUGUAUGUUGAAAUAAAUUCUUAAUUGUGUCCCUAUGCAAAACCACAAUUUUUCCAGGGUUUUUGUGAGAUCUGGACAUACACAGUAUCUCAGAUCAGUCCUUCAAGAACAACACACGUUAUUAGCAUUUGAUGAGAAAAAAAAACCCCAACCGUGAAACAGAAAACCAUUAACAGUGGAAAACUAUCUUAUCUAGAUAAGAAGCAAUGAGUAAGUCCUAAAUAAGUUUAUUGAUUAAAUUGGAGUUUACAGAGGAUCCAUGAACAAAGGUGCUGUCAGGAAAAUUAAUCCACAAACAUCAGAGUUUUAUGUCCAAAAAGGAGACAGAAGAGUCCUGUAACUUUAUUUGAAUAAAGGGAGAGGUCAUGGGGCAUUCCCCAUGAGGUCUCUCAACAUUUUUAGGGAUGCAGCCUCCUUUUUAUCCUAAUUUCCACAUUUUCCACAUUUUCCUCUCUCUCCUCCCAUUGGCUGAGGUACUUGAGAGGUACAGACUUCCCAAAAUGCAUAAUACCCCUUCUAAUGUAUACCCUCCUCAGUUUUCUUUUUCCUUAUGUCUCUCUUCUUUUUCUCUAAAUCCAGACAUGUAGGAUGGUCUUCAGUGAGUUAACAGUCUGUGUCACUUACUGGAAUUCCUACGGAAUUCAUGGUUUCCCCCACUGCUUCUUUCACUUCUCCAUAUCUGGCCCAUUGUUUGUAAAGACAUCUCCUUCUCACUCCUUUCAGUGUAAAGAAAAAAAAAAUGGUUCAACGCAAGGCCAAGGUGCAGAAUGAAAGUUGACAGAGUCACACCAAAAUAUCCCUUUCCUUCCACCAAAACAGAUUAUGAGAAUGUUUUUCUGUACCAGUUGAAAAGGGUGGGCACGCAGCAUAUCAUAGGAUUGCAAUUACAAUUUUUUGAAAAUUUUAGGAUCUUGUGAAUGAAUGAGACUGAAUUUCACAGUUGAAGCCUUUUACAUUAAAUAAAUUGAUGCAUUAAUCAAUUAAACUAUCAAAAUGAAUCAAUUAAUAAUUCAUAAUGGUAUUGCAAACCUUCCAGGUGUGAAAACCUCUACAGUCUGCUGGAAUGAAUCUGAAAUAGGAUCAGGAGGAUAAUGUUGCCUCUGGCACUGACUCACAGUACCCCUGAGGAAGUCACUCUGACCAUCUGCAUGUAAUAAUGGUACCACAUAGCUCAUUUGGGUGUGAGCAGGCUCAUUAGCUAAUGUUCGAUAUUGCUGUAAAGUGCAAAAUGGGUUGUGAGGGCUUGGUAUUGUUAUUUAAAAAGAAAUAAACAGGAAACAUCAGUCAGGUAAUGUCAUCACUGAGACAUUAGAUCCCUCAAUGACAGUGGCAGAGACACAGUGACAAGAGUGACCCAGGCUCGAAUAACAGCAUUCUUUAUGGUUAGAAUGCGUGCAAAACCGGGGCUUUUUCACAGCUCUUACACAACGCAGGUCCUUAGCCAAUGCAUCUCCUCAGGGCUCAUUCCUUCUUUAGGCACAUGAAGCACCUUUAUGAAAUACUGAGGUCAAAAGAGAAGACAGUUCCCCAUUACGAGUUUUUAUAUGAUAAUCAAGAUGAUUGCCGAUCUCCAGGUUACUGUUCCUCCGAGCUAUAGGCUUGCGUGAGCUGCAGUCUGAGGGAACACCCCAGCAAUCCCCACGGAAAUCCUUGGCGUGCGGCUCAGCACCACCUCGGCUGCUCUCAUUUCCGUGCGGCUGCCCUACAGCGCAGCCCUGAAGGCGUAAACAGCGCAUCGUAAUUUAACCACAACUUUCAGCACCCCUCUCUGAGGUCCUGCUGGACGGAGCUGCGGAUCUAACUGGGGCCAACCGGGAUUGCCCGGGAAGGGCGCGGCGCUGCCACAACCACAGCGGGCAGGGCUGUGCAGGCCUGGGGCCGCUCCCGGCAUCUGCCCCUGCGGCGACCCAAGCAAUUCUCCCGGCCUAGAGGAACGUGCUCCUUCAAAGCGCCGCUUUGCCGACUCUCCAGGCGUUUGGCGGCAGCCUGAGAGCGGCGCAGAACCAGGAAACUGCCUGAGAGGUGCUGGGCGGGCCUGGAAAUACGCGCUAGGAAACGCCGUCCUUCGCCCGGGACAAGUAUCGUGCCUUGCCAGAAGCCCCAAAAAGCAGAGUCAGAGCCCCCGAAAAAGCCAGUCCGCUUGACUCGGUCCCCGGGCGCGGCUGCUUGCACUGCACUGAACGCACCGCACUCACACAAGGCCCGCCUCGCCUCGCAGCCCCGCGGCUUUCGCGCACUCCGCAUGACCCCGCCAUGGCUUCACUCAGAGCCCAACUCCAGCAUGGCGCC